rnacentral:rRNA from 1 species
UGAAACACGGACCAAGGAGUCUAGAAUGUGCGCGAGUCAAAGGGCUGGCUAAACCCUAAGGCGUAACGAAAGUGAAUGGGACGGCAGAGGCGGCGGCGGUGGUGGCGGUGGGAAGGGGGGCUCGCUUCCCUUCCUCCGCUCCUCCUCCUCCUUCUCGUCGUCCCUUGGGCCGAUCCGGUUUUGUCGGGAGUUCGCUCCCGGCGAUUCGCCUCAUUUAAACGUAGGAGGACGGCGCAGGCCCGGGGCUCGCCGGCUUCCUCCCCGCCGUUAACGCUCACGUCGAGGAUAUCUCCUGUCGUUGACGGGUUCCCUCUCCGUCGUCGACGUUCGCCGUCGUCGUUUCUCCUCGCAAGGGUGAGUUUCGGCGUUUGGCGUUCGUCGGCUUCGGGUCAAAGGGGGGAUUCCGGGCGAUGGCGGGCUUCGACUCGCGGGCGGGGACGAGCGGCGGGUACCUUGAGCGUACAUUCUAGUACCCGAAAGAUGGUGAUCUAUGCCUGGCCAGGAUGAAGCCAGAGGAAACUCUGGUGGAGGUCCGUAGCGAUUCUGACGUGCAAAUCGAUCGUCGGAGCU